rnacentral:lncRNA from 1 species
CCGUGUUUCAUCCGGGAGGGCCCGAUCUUGCAUCAACAACCGUAUUAUGCACACACACAUAUUUAGGUCCUAUAUAAACAUGCCAGCCAGCUUGUUUACUGCUCUAGUGUUAACAGGAUCUGUUUUGCAUGUUUUCCUCACCCCCGUGCAUCCCCACCCUGUUCACACACGCCCCCACCCUCGGCUUAAAAAAAAAGCCUUCAGCCUCUCAUCUAGGUAACCGUUUGAUUAUAUAAAAUGUUCUCCAAAAUAGCAGAGGUCCUGGAUUUGUGGGGUUUGGAGGCACUCGCCCCGCCAAACACUCUCACUAAAGCUUUUUUUUUCCUUAAAACUGAGGUGCGUGUGUUGUGUGUGUGUGUGUGUGUGUGUGUGUGUGUGUGUGAAAGGGGGGAGGAUAAGAUAGGUUGGAUGACUGACAAAAGAAAGGGGUGUGUGUGGAGGGGCUGGGAGAGAGAAAAAAGAGAUUGAUCAACACAGAAAUUGCAGCUUUAAUGAAAUGCAGAUUCUCCUAGCCCGCUGAUGAGAAACACUUGAAAAAUGCAAGCGCCAUUGGCAAACUCAAGACAAACAAGCAGAAUUUUUAUUAGCAACUAAAUGAUUUAUUGCAUACAUACCCCACCGUCACAAUUACAGCGUCUUGUAGCAUCCGGGUGUGAAAGCAUUAAACAUUUAUAAAAAUAUGCUUUCCCUCCAUCUCCGCCCUGCUCCCCCCCCCCCCGUAAGCGAUUAAACCCUUGUUUCUUCACGUCUGUAUUAUGUUUUAAAUUUUUUAAAAAUCCUCCACUCAAGAAUUUAAGACCUCCAAUUUCUGAGUGAGGGCGAAAGAAAAGGGGUGGCGGUGAGAGAUUCUUAAUCUGAAUACCGGUAUAUAUUCAAGGGGGGGGGAUGGUGUUUGAAUUUGCAAGGUUUUCAAAGAAUAAAGAACUACUUUUUAAAAAGCUUAGAGAGAGCGCCUGUCACUCAUUGCUGCUCCAGUGAUCGCUCGAGAUCCCUCGGCAUUCUGUUCAGGCAGCCAUAUAAGCUUCAGACUUGCAUUAAUUUUUCCUGCAAUCACCUCCCCCCAUCCCAAGUCUCUCGCACUCUCAUUCUCUCAGCACCCCCCCACCCCCACCCCUUCCCUCUCCCUUUUCAUCGGGAGGAUCCUCCAGCUAAUUUGGGAGCCGUGCGCUGUGGUGUCCUACCCAAGUCAGCGUCCUUUUCUCCGCCGAGUCCGAAGGCUGGCGAGCACGAGAGAGAUUUUGCUGAAAGGGCAGUAUGGAAAGUACAAAGUCUGGGGAAUUGGGGGGACUUUUACCCCUCCUUCCUCUCCCUCCAGUAAGCGCGGCCAGCAAAACAGUUAGGGGUUUGGCUGCUGCUUUCCUUUUAGCUAAACACAUCGUCCCCCGCCUGCAGCGCCUUCUUUCCAGUUGGGAGCAGAAAAUGAAGGGACAGAGAUCAGGGGUUUGAGAGGAAAGGAAUGGGGGUGUGGAGCGGCUGGAGAAGAGGACCUACGCCAAGAGUUUUUAAUAUUACAGUUUAAUAGGUUUCAGAAAGCCCCGCAG